rnacentral:lncRNA from 1 species
UGUAACUCCUCCAUCAGCCGAAGCCACUCUCACCGUUUCCUUCUUUCCCCUUUUCCUUCCCAACUUUCGCCUUUUCCCAAAGUUUUCCCAUUAUUUCUCCUCACCAACUUUGCCUUUUUGUCCAACUUCUUCCCCAUCUUUGUGCCCAACCUCUUUGUCUUCUCUGCCGUCUCUUAGGACUCAACUUUCCCGUCUUCUUUCCCAACUUUUCCCACCGCCUCCUCCAACCCGCUCUCACCGUUUCCUUCUUUCCCUUUUCCCUCCCAACUUCCCCCUUUUCCCGCAGUUUUCCCCCCUUUUCCUGCUCCAUCUUUCUCCUCCUGUCCAUCAUCCCUGCCCUCCUUCCCCUCCUUUCUGUCCUCUCAGUCUGAUCCUUCCCGCUUUGUUUCCCACAUUUUUCCUUUCCCCUUUUCCCUCCCUCCCCUUUCUUCCCUUCUCCAGAGCAGUGCACACCCCACAGCACAUUGGGGUUCCUACAGAAUUGUUCUUAGCGUAAUUAAGCUGAAGAUCUAAUGAGAGCACGGACUACACGGGGAGAGAAAGCGCGAUCCCAUAGGAUGCAAUGGGAAUUGUCUGCAUGAGCUGGCUCAGGCACGACCCCAUAAAACAUCAGGGGAAUCGGCUUCACCUGCGGGGUCAGGAGCAAUCCCAUAGGACACAAAGGAAUUGUUGUGGUGCCUUGGGUUCAGCACGACCCCAUAAAGCAGGAACGGAACGGUCUUCAUGAAUGGGGUUCAGCACGACCCCAUAAAGCAGGAAC